rfam:Schistosoma mansoni strain Puerto Rico chromosome 7, complete genome
AUCCAGCUGAAGAGUUUCGAAUAGGAUGAAAUGCACGUCCUGGAU